CCUACGGGAGGCAGCAGUGAGGAAUAUUGGUCAAUGGGCGUAAGCCUGAACCAGCCAAGCCGCGUGAGGGAUGAAGGCUCUAUGGAUCGUAAACUUCUUUUAUAAGGGAAUAAAGCGCGGGACGUGUCCCGUUUUGUAUGUACCUUAUGAAUAAGGAUCGGCUAACUCCGUGCCAGCAGCCGCGGUAAUACGGAGGAUCCGAGCGUUAUCCGGAUUUAUUGGGUUUAAAGGGUGCGUAGGCGGCCUGUUAAGUCAGCGGUGAAAGUCUGUGGCUCAACCAUGGAAUUGCCGUUGAAACUGGGAGACUUGAGUAUGUUUGCGGCAGGCGGAAUGCAUGGUGUAGCGGUGAAAUGCUUAGAUAUCACGCAGAACCCCGAUUGCGAAGGCAGCCUACCAAGCCAUGACUGACGCUGAUGCACGAAAGCGUGGGGAUCAAACAGGAUUAGAUACCCGAGUAGUC
rnacentral:rRNA from 1 species